UUGGUUUUCAUUGUUUUUAAUCAAAUGGUCGCAUAUGCGACUAUUAUGAGUUUGACAAUCAAUUAAUUCAUUUGUUCUUCUUCUUGUUUAGAGGAGAAAGAAUAAAUGGUUAGGUUGAAAAAUAGAAAUAGGAAAGCAAAGUUGUGUUUUUUUAAUACAACAACUCACACUUUCCCAAAAUCAGAUUUUUUACGCGGGACGAAAAAGACCUAAAAGAUUUUACUCUUCCAGAUCGAUUUAUUUUUUUUGAAUUGUGGUAAUGAUCCUUCCGCAGGUUCACCUACGGAAA
rnacentral:misc_RNA from 1 species